rnacentral:rRNA from 1 species
UGGGGAAUAUUGCACAAUGGGCGCAAGCCUGAUGCAGCCAUGCCGCGUGUAUGAAGAAGGCCUUCGGGUUGUAAAGUACUUUCAGCGGGGAGGAAGGUGUUGUGGUUAAUAACCACAGCAAUUGACGUUACCCGCAGAAGAAGCACCGGCUAACUCCGUGCCAGAAGCCGCGGUAAAACGGAGGGUGCAAGCGUUAAUCGGAAUUACUGGGCGUAAAGCGCACGCAGGCGGUCUGUCAAGUCGGAUGUGAAAUCCCCGGGCUCAACCUGGGAACUGCAUCCGAAACUGGCAGGCUUGAGUCUUGUAGAGGGGGGUAGAAUUCCAGGUGUAGCGGUGAAAUGCGUAGAGAUCUGGAGGAAUACCGGUGGCGAAGGCGGCCCCCUGGACAAAGACUGACGCUCAGGUGCGAAAGCGUGGGGAGCAAACA